GUUCACCUGGAUCGUGUAGAUCUGGAUGCCGGCCGCUUUCGCGUUAUCGCACAGGAGCCUCUGGCGCGCAUCGAUCGACGACUGACUCGAACUGAAGCGGUUCUGGGUGUUGUCGCCGUCCGAGAGCAGAAUGACGGCCUUCGUAUACUUGAAGUUGGGAUCUUCAGCAGGCGCGUUCAGCGGCGCCUGUUGGAGCAGCGAAAUCCAGCCCCAUGCCAUGCCGAUGGCCUGGUUGGUGUUGCCCUGCGGCUGCAUCGCAUCGACCUUGUUCUUCAGAGCGGUCCAGUCAUAAGUC
rnacentral:misc_RNA from 1 species